AAUUUUGUUCUCUCUUGGCUCUAUCUCUCUCUUCAGCCCGUCUCUCUCUCUCGCUCAGCUCUCUCCAUCGUGUAACUCUCUCUCUCUCCAACGCAGUCAUCUUCCUCCCUCAGCAAUCCAAGCUUAACUCCACAGUUCACAUCCACGAGGUAGGAAGGCGAAUUGAGUCAGUGGUAGUCUCACUGGAGCAGCUCAAGUCCUUUGAUUUUACUGAUCAACAAGAAUACGAUGCCUGCAAAAUGAAAUAAAGGAGCUUUUCUGGUCAUGAACUUUACUUUUGGACACACACAUGCACAAUGAACUUUACUGUCUUUGAUGGCAUUUUGUGUUAUUUGUUUGAUAGGAAGGUGAUGUUGCUGUUGCCGUCGCUGACAGACUACUUUUCCUGGGUUGUGGUUGGUGGGUGUUAUUGCGGAUGCUUACAAGAGGUAGAGUUGUUUUGUGCCCAGAAGAUUGUGACUUUUUUGAAAGUUCGUAAAUGGAAAAGGCAGCUGCCCCUGCGGCUUGGAACCCUCAAUUCGGAGGGUUUAUUGACUGCAUGCUUCCUUGUUCUGGAAGACCUCCUCAGUUCCGUUGAGCCGACAAACCUUAUGAGGUUGAAUGUGAAGUGUUACCUUGCAUCUGCAUGUUUCAUCUUUUAACUUUCUUUUCAUGUUUCACGCUGAUGCUUGUAGUUAUUUCUAGUUUUGCAUACAGAUUAGCAAAUAGGUUAUGCAUUUACUAGUCAUCUAAUGAUUUGAUAUCUAAUAUUUAGGCAUAGAUAUGAAACCAAUCUCAAAACCAUAUCAGAUGACCCAAAAUAAAAACCCAUCACCCAAUCCUUACCUAAAAUCACAAU